UGCUUAGCCUACUACAUCAUUCUUUAAUAGCGAAAAUUAAUGCUCUUGUUCUUGUAGAGUGUAACUCCAUGGUUUCUUUCAUGCUAAGUUUUUAUUUAAAAUUUUUUAUACACUUUUAAAUUUAGAAACAUUUAGAGAUGCCUAAAUAUGUUUUGAAACUCAAGUGCACUACGUUCGUUGCUGAAUCAUUUUCCGUUAACGACGUGCUGAUGUGGCUUGAUGACCUUGACUAUUAGUAACACGUGUUACUUCGUAGUUUGGCCACGUAUACUAGUAUGAUGUGAAUUGAAUGUUGUGCAUCAAAUUAGUCUCUUCACUAAUUUUUCUCCUUUUUUUAUAAAUUCAAAUUUCUAAUAUCUUUAAAUGCACUAAUUUUAAUCCUAUUUUUCACAUGUUUAUUGUUGGAUAUUCAUUUUCUUUUUCCUUUCUUUCUUCCCUUUUGGAGUUGCUGAGUUUAUUAAUCCUAAAGAACACGAUAAACCAAUUUAGCAGGUCAUAGUUGAUCUUACAGAUGACAGAGUUGAUUAUAGCUUUGAGUGCAUUGGGAAUGUCUCCAUCAUGAGAGCUGCUCUGGACUGCUGCCACAAGGUGAACACUGCCAUAGCAGUGCCACACUGACUCAAUUGUUCAAAUAUUACUCUAGAUGGACAUAACCAUCAAAAUAUAUGUUUUGCUGAAUAGGAAUUUGCUCUGCAUUCAACAGUAUACACCAUACACACCUUUUUCUUCUCGGAUAUUGAAUCAAAGUUAAGAAGAAUUGAGGAUGACCCCUAAAGGAUCUGGGAUUUUUCAUUUGCAUAGUAUUAUUUAAGGAGUUAAUUUGCAAGCUAAUCUUGCUUUGAAGCCUUUGUUUGAGAGAGAAGUUUGUUAUUUCCAGUGUUGCUGAGUAAAUCACCUGAUUAUUAGAAGUUAUUGUUAUCAACGCACAAAAGAAACAAAUAUGUCAAGGCAAAGGACAAAUUGACAUCACAUCUCUGAAGUUAGUUUAGAGUUAGUUACAACUAAUCUUGGCUAAUCUUUAGUUUCUAGAAGUACUUAGUGUUAGUAUAUAUCAUUGUUUAGAACUAAGAUCGAGACAAGUGUAUUCACUCAAAUAUAUUAAUUUUUGUUGUUUGAACUAAAAAUAUAUCUAGCUUAUAAUGUAAA